rnacentral:pre_miRNA from 1 species
AAGGAGCUCACAGUCUAUUGAGUUCCUUUUCUGAUUCUCCCACUAGAUUGUGAGCUCCUGGA